UGCGGACGUGGUGGAAUUGGUAGACACCCCAGAUUUAGGUUCUGGUGAGUAUAUCUCGUGAGAGUUCGAGUCUCUCCGUCCGUAU
rnacentral:tRNA from 1 species